rnacentral:rRNA from 1 species
ACCCUUCGGGGUACUCGAGCGGCGAACGGGUGAGUAACACGUGGGCAACCUGCCCCUAGCUCUGGGACAACUCCGGGAAACCGGGGCUAAUACCGGAUACGACCUCGGAAGUCAUCUUCUGCGGUGGAAAGUUUUUCGGCUAGGGAUGGGCCCGCGGCCUAUCAGCUUGUUGGUGAGGUAACGGCCCACCAAGGCGACGACGGGUAGCCGGCCUGAGAGGGCGACCGGCCACACUGGGACUGAGACACGGCCCAG